GAGAGCCUGGGAGCGCUUUCGACUCGGUCCAGGCUCGCUCCCACCCCCACCCCCGCUCCGGUUGCCUCUCCUCCUUUCCGGACGCCAAGGGAAAUGCAAACUUGAAAUGUGGCAGAACAUUGGCUGAGUCUUAGAGGGAGGAAUAGAGACCAAGCUGAAAGAGGUGGUGGCCAAGUCAUGCGGCAGUUGGGCUGGGAAGAAGGAAGUUGGAAUUCAGAGAUGCAGUGAAGUCUAAGACUUGAAAUGGAAGAGGGAACCUUAGAGAAAUCAGCCCGAAAUUUAUUGUGCAGUUUCCUCUUGAGGUGCUUGUCAUUUCCUAAGCUGUGCCUGUCCUGGGCAAGAUUCCUGGCCCCAAGCUGAAAGCAACAGCUGUGAAGCAACUAAAGUCAACCUCAGAAAGACAAGGCCAAGUGUCUGCACAAGCUGAUGUUGCAGAAGCUAGAGAAGCUGACAAAGGAGGAAAAAAAUUCAGGUUUCUCCUGUAAGAGACCCUCAUCUGUGUAGAGGUCCUCACAGAUCCCCUGGGGUGACGUGGUGAAGGCCUAGGACAAGGCCCUCAGCCUCAGAGGAAGAUGGCCCAGAGGAAACUGGGGAGCAAGUGAAGGGAAAGGCCCUUCGGUUUGCUUCCUGACCUCCAGCUGCUCUUUUUCCCUAGGAAGAUUCAUGAGACACUUUUCAGUUUAUCCAGUCACUUUCCCUGGACUUCACAGUGCUGUACUCUGCAGCUAGAAUGACAAUUGUCCCCCAUUGCCCAGAACCGAAAAGUCUCCCAGGAGGCAGACUUGAAUGCCUGAAUGGUCCCAGGUGAACUGGACGAGUCAGUUACCCUCUUACAGUGAGGUUAGUAGUCUCUGAACUAAUGCAUGUAUAAGUUCUUUCCCUUCCCAUUUAGGAAACUCUGGGCUGUUGACAAUAAAUGUGGUAGAGUAUAUGAGAAAAUAACUCAUAAAUAAGUAUUGCUUCAUAUAUGACUCUCUAGAAACAGGAAAUAUCUAGAGCAAGAAUUUCCUCAGACCCAUAUCUUGCCUACAUAUGACAGGAUUUCAUGUAGUCAGAUAGUAAACAGUACUGUACUUUAAGACAGUAUUUCUAAUGCCAUGGUUCCAUGUGUUCUUCACUUUCUGAGCCUAGGGAAGGUCUUGUUAAAGUGUGCCUGUGCUGUGACAGCUGACAGAUGUGGCACUAAGAGCUAAAGGAAAUGGGAACAUGUGGCUCCAUAGGCCUUUCUGAUGUCUGCCAGGCUUGUAGGGAAGGCCUUUCAGGGCAGAUGUGACUUAACUUUACUGCCAGUUCUGAUCACUGUUUAACUCCUUAUUGUCUCAGGUUUUUCUUUUUUUAGCUAACCUUGAAUGUGCUUAAUUU